rfam:Triticum aestivum genome assembly, contig: Triticum_aestivum_CS42_TGACv1_scaffold_549978_6DS
CAAGUACUCCCUCCGUCCGGUAUUACUUGUCAUCAAAAUGGAUGUGUCUAGAACUAAAAUACAUCUAGAUACAUCCAUUUCAAUGACAAGUAUUUUCGGACGGAGGGAGUACAAG